rnacentral:rRNA from 1 species
UACGUAGGGUGCGAGCGUUGUCCGGAUUUAUUGGGCGUAAAGGGCUCGUAGGCGGCGUGUCGCGUCGGGAGUGAAAGCCCGUUGCUUAACGGCGGGUUGGCUUUCGGUACGGGCAUGCUGGAGUGCGGCAGGGGAGACUGGAAUUCCUGGUGUAGCGGUGGAAUGCGCAGAUAUCAGGAGGAACACCGAUGGCGAAGGCGGCAUUCUGGACCAUUACUGACGCUGAGGAGCGAAAGCCAGGGGAGCAAACGGG